AAUCGGGGGUGCUGCCAUAUGGCGGCUGAGACGGGCAACUGCCCGAACCCUUUCACCUGAUACGGAUAAUGCCGGCGUAGGGAAGAGAUCUU
rnacentral:ncRNA from 1 species